rnacentral:lncRNA from 1 species
GUGGUGGCGGCGCGCGGUGACAUGGCAUGGGGCGGCGGCGUGCGGCGACAUGGCAGGGGCGGCGGCGCGCUAUAGGUGGAGAUGAGGUAAGGUCGUGGGUCGUCUGGGCGGAAUUUUCUUUCUCGCCCGUACCGGUUCAUGUUGACUGAACAAUAUGACUGCGGGUUGAUUUCGAUAAAACACAAGGACGUUUUUGCAAAAACACCACGACGACAGAAGCACUCCGUGCUUUAUUUUUAGAAAGAGAUAAUAAAGACCUAGGAAAUAUAGAAUCAAUUGGCAAUAUAAGUACCAACCAGUUGCCAAAUUACUGUAAAGAAAAGCUGUUGCUGCUGAAAUAAAACCUACUCCACUAAAA